rnacentral:lncRNA from 1 species
GUAACUAUUAGUGGAAUGGGUUUGGGGAGGUUACAGUCCUAGCAGUUUCAUGAAGAUUGCUUGUGACUCUAAGCAGCCUGUUAGGGAAAGAAGAUUCUGUAUGUGAAUCCAAAGGAUGCAGUUUCAGCUUGAGCAGUGCCUUUCUGAUUUGCUUUUGUUCUAUCCUUAAGGACCUGUUUCAUAACCCACUGAAAUCUGCAGGAGUUGGAAUCUUUUCAUCAACUUGAAUAAACUGUGAAGCAAGUAGUCAUCCUCUGACUUAUAGC